UGGGGAAUUUUGGACAAUGGGCGAAAGCCUGAUCCAGCAAUGCCGCGUGUGUGAAGAAGGCCUUCGGGUUGUAAAGCACUUUUGUCCGGAAAGAAAUCCUUGGCUCUAAUACAGUCGGGGGAUGACGGUACCGGAAGAAUAAGCACCGGCUAACUACGUGCCAGCAGCCGCGGUAAUACGUAGGGUGCAAGCGUUAAUCGGAAUUACUGGGCGUAAAGCGUGCGCAGGCGGUUUGCUAAGACCGAUGUGAAAUCCCCGGGUCUCAACCUGGGAACUGCAUUGGUGACUGGCAGGGCUAGAGUAUGGCAGAGGGGGGUAGAAUUCCACGUGUAGCAGUGAAAUGCGUAGAGAUGUGGAGGAAUACCGAUGGCGAAGGCAGCCCCCUGGGCCAAUACUGACGCUCAUGCACGAAAAGCGUGGGGAGCAAAACAGGAUUAGAUACCCCUGGUAGUCCACGCCCCUAAAACGAUGUCAACUAGUUGUUGGGGAUUCAUUUCCUUAGUAACGUAGCUAACGCGUGAAGUUGACCGCCUGGGGAGUACGGUCGCAAGAUUAAAACUCAAAGGAAUUGACGGGGUCAUAGCUGUUU
rnacentral:rRNA from 1 species